CCUACGGGAGGCAGCAGUGAGGAAUAUUGGUCAAUGGACGAGAGUCUGAACCAGCCAAGCAGCGUGAAGGAUGACUGCCCUCUGGGUUGUAAACUUCUUUUAUAUGGGAAUAAAACAUGGUAUGCAUACCCUCUUGUAUGUACCAUAUGAAUAAGGAUCGGCUAACUCCGUGCCAGCAGCCGCGGUAAUACGGAGGAUCCGAGCGUUAUCCGGAUUUAUUGGGUUUAAAGGGAGCGUAGGUGGAUUGUUAAGUCAGUUGUGAAAGGUUGCGGCUCAACCGUAAAAUUGCAGUUGAAACUGGCAGGCUUGAGUACAGUAGAGGUGGGCGGAAUUCGUGGUGUAGCGGUGAAAUGCGUAGAUAUCACGAAGAACUCCGGUUGCGAAGGCGGCUCACUGGACUGCAACUGACACUGAGGCUCGAAAGUGUGGGGAUCAAACAGGAUUAGAUACCCGAGUAGUC
rnacentral:rRNA from 1 species